rnacentral:tRNA from 1 species
GCCGAAGUGGCGGAAUGGUAGACGCGACGGUCUCAAAAACCGUUGUCCUCACGGACGUGUCGGUUCGACUCCGACCUUCGGCACCA